rnacentral:pre_miRNA from 1 species
AGAGCAUGUUGUUAGAUCACAUGGUUGGCAUAUGCUUGACUUUUAAGAAAAUGCCAAUCUAUCUUCCAAAGUGACUGUACCAUUUUUGCAUUCUUACUGGUGAU